CUUAGACCCUUUGUGAGACCAUAUGCCAGUGCGGUUGGCCCUGGGUUCCUCCUAAUGCAAGACCACACUAGACCUCAUGUGGCUGGAGUGUGUCAGCAGUUCCUGCAAGACGAAGGCAUUGACGAAGGCCCGCCCGUUCCCCAGACCUGAAUCCAAUUGAGCACAUCUGGGGCAUCAUGUCUCGCUCCAUCCACCAACGCCACGUUGCACCACAGACUGUCCAGGAGUUGGCGGAUGCUUUAGUCCAGGUCUGGGAGGAGAUCCCUCAGGAGACCAUCCGCCACCUCAUCAGGAGCAUGCCCAGGCGUUACAGGGAGGACAUACAGGCACGUGGAGGCCACACACACUACUGAGCCUCAUUUUGACUUGUUUUAAGGACAUUACAUCAAAGUUGGAUCAGCCUGUAGUUUGUUUUUCCACUUCAAUUUUGAGUGUGACUCCAAAUCCAGACCUCCAUGGGUUAAUAAAUUUGAUUUUCAUUGAUAAUUUUUGUGUGAUUUUGUUGUCAGCACAUUCAGCUAUGUAAAGAAGUAUUUAAUAAGAAUAUUUAAUUCAUUCAGAUGUAAGAGGUGUAAUUUUAGUGUUCCCUUUAUUUUUUUUGAGCAGUGUAUAUAUAUUGAAAGUAUUUUACCAGAACUAUAUUGAGUGUUUCUACUAUCAGUGUGUUGAAGUGUUGUUUUCUCUCUCUCUGCUGGAGUUUGUGUUCACUCGAGUGGAAUAGAGGUUUUUGUACGACUGUUUCAUUAGAUUGUAUCACUGUGGUGCACAUUCGGUGGAGGAACUAAACUGGUGCUCGCUGGUCCCACAGUGAAGCCCUCAGUGUCUCUGCUGCCGCCCUCUUCUCUGCAGAUCUCUGGAGACUCAGCCGCACUGCUCUGCCUGCUCAGCUCUUACUCUCCACAGGGGGCGCUGGUGAGCUGGACACUGGACGGCUCAGAGGUCACCGAUGGGGUUCAGACUAGCGCAGAGAGCGAGCGGGGCGGGCGCUACAGCCGCAGUAGCGUCCUGACCCUCAGCAAAGCAAGCUGGGAAAAAGGAGAGCUGUACGUCUGCAGAGUAACACAUGAUGGAGCUCCUCAAGAGGUCUCGUUCCAGAAGAGUCAGUCGCAGUGCUGAUGUUUCUCCAGUGAGCGCUGCUCUCUCCUGAAGAUGAGGCGUAUCUGAGUGUCCUGUGUCAGGCAGGAUUCACAUGAGUCUAGUGCUGCAGCUGUAGUCAUUUACAACUCAAUACUGAAAGAGAGCUCUAGUGUCAAAGCACUGGCUGAUCUUUCAAUCUGCUGUGUUUGCUGUAACAUUCAAUAAAGCUUCUCAACAAGCUCCA